rnacentral:rRNA from 1 species
UACCAGCACCCCGAGUGGUCGGGACGAUUAUUGGGCCUAAAGCAUCCGUAGCCGGUUCUACAAGUCUUCCGUUAAAUCCACCUGCUUAACAGAUGGGCUGCGGAGGAUACUAUAGAGCUAGGAGGCGGGAGAGGCAAGCGGUACUUAGUGGGUAGGGGUAAAAUCCGUUGAUCCAUAGAAGACCACCAGUGGCGAAGGCGGCUUGUCAGAACGCGCUCGACGGUGAGGGAUGAAAGCUGGGGGAGCAAACCGGG